rnacentral:rRNA from 2 species
CUUGUUUCCUUGGUGGGUUCGCCCACCAUAGGACAAACCCCCCUCAAUUUUGUAAUUGCAAUCAGCGUCAGUAAAAAAAUUAAUAAUUACAACUUUUAACAACGGAUCUCUUGGUUCUGCCAUCGAUGAAGAACGCAGCGAAAUGCGAUAAGUAGUGUGAAUUGCAGAAUUCAGUGAAUCAUCGAAUCUUUGAACGCACAUUGCGCCCUUUGGUAUUCCAAAGGGCAUGCCUGUUCGAGCGUCAUUUGUACCCUCAAGCUUUGCUUGGUGUUGGGCGUCUUGUCUCCAGUUCGCUGGAGACUCGCCUUAAAGUAAUUGGCAGCCGGCCUACUGGUUUCGGAGCGCAGCACAAGUCGCGCUCUCUUCCAGCCAAGGUCAGCAUCCACAAAGCCUUUUUUCAACUUUUGACCUCGGAUCAGGUAGGGAUACCCGCUGAACUU